GAUGAACGCUGGCGGCGUGCUUAACACAUGCAAGUCGAACGGACAGGCCCAAGCUUGCUUGGGUACUCGAGUGGCGCACGGGUGUGUAACACGUGGGUGAUCUGCCCUGCACUUCGGGAUAAGCCUGGGGAACUGGGUCUAAUACCGGAUAGGACCACAUUUUGGAUGGGGUGGUGGAAAGUUGUUCGGUUUGGGAUGAGCUGGCGGCCUAUCCGCUUGUUGGUGGGGUAAUGGCUUACCAAGGCGUCGACGGGUAGCCGGCCAGAGAGGGUGUAAGGCCACACUGGGACUGAGGGACGGCCCAGGCACCGACGGGAGGCAGCAGUGGGGAAGAUUGAACGAUGGGCGCAAGCCUGAUGAAGAGACGCCGCGGGGGGGAUGACUGUCUUAGGGUUGUAAACUACUUGCGCUAGGGACGAUGCGUUAUGUGACGGUACCUGGAGAAGAAGCACCGGCUAACUACGUG
rnacentral:rRNA from 1 species